rnacentral:rRNA from 1 species
UAAGCAUAUCAAUAAGCGGAGGAAAAGAAACCAACAGGGAUUGCCCUAGUAACGGCGAGUGAAGCGGCAACAGCUCAAAUUUGAAAUCUGGCGCAAGCCCGAGUUGUAAUUUGUAGAGGAUGCUUCUAGGUAGCGACCGGUCUAAGUUCCUUGGAACAGGACGUCAUAGAGGGUGAGAAUCCCGUAUGUGACCGGCCCGCACCUUCUACGUAGCUCCUUCGACGAGUCGAGUUGUUUGGGAAUGCAGCUCUAAAUGGGAGGUAAAUUUCUUCUAAAGCUAAAUACCGGCCAGAGACCGAUAGCGCACAAGUAGAGUGAUCGAAAGAUGAAAAGCACUUUGGAAAGAGAGUUAAAAAGCACGUGAAAUUGUUGAAAGGGAAGCGCUCACAACCAGACUUCUGGGCGGUGUUCCGCCGGUCUUCUGACCGGUCUACUCGCCGUCCCGAGGCCAACAUCAUCUGGGACCGCCGGAUAAGACCUCAGGAAUGUAGCUUCCCUCGGGAAGUGUUAUAGCCUGUGGUGAUGCGGCGCGUCUCGGGUGAGGUCCGCGCUUCGGCAAGGAUGUUGGCGUAAUGGUUGUCAGCGGCCCGUCUUGAAACACGGACCAAGGAGUCUAACAUCUAUGCGAGUGUUCGGGUGUCAAACCCCUACGCGGAAUGAAAGUGAACGGAGGUGGGAAGCGCAAGCUGCACCAUCGACCGAUCCUGAUGUCCUCGGAUGGAUUUGAGUAAGAGCAUAGCUGUUGGGACCCGAAAGAUGGUGAACUAUGCCUGAAUAGGGUGAAGCCAGAGGAAACUCUGGUGGAGGCUCGCAGCGGUUCUGACGUGCAAAUCGAUCGUCAAAUUUGGGUAUAGGGGCGAAAGACUAAUCGAACCAU